UACGUAGGGGGCUAGCGUUGUCCGGAUUUAUUGGGCGUAAAGAGCGUGUAGGCGGCCAGGUAGGUCGGUUGUGAAAACUGGAGGCUCAACCUUCAGAGGUCGACCGAAACCAUCUGGCUAGAGUCCGGGAGAGGAGAGUGGAAUUCCUGGUGUAGCGGUGAAAUGCGCAGAUAUCAGGAAGAACACCCGUGGCGAAAGCGGCUCUCUGGAACGGUACUGACGCUGAGACGCGAAAAGCGUGGGGAGCGAACAGG
rnacentral:rRNA from 1 species